GGUUACAGAGAGCUGGUAGUCCCAUCCACCACACUACCAGGUGGGUGGUAUAGAGGAGAUGGACCCACUGGUUGCCCUCUAGGUUACAGAGAGCUGGUAGUCCCAUCCACCACACUACCAGGUGGGUGGUAUAGAGGAGAUGGACCCACUGGUUGACCUCUAGGUUACAGAGAGCUGGUAGUCCCAUCCACCACACUACCAGGUGGUAUAGAGGAGAUGGACCCACUGGUUGUCCUCUAGGUUACAGAGAGCUGGUAGUCCCAUCCACCACACUACCAGGUGGGUGGUAUAGAGGAGACGGACCCACUGGUUGUCCUCUAGGUUACAGAGAGCUGGUAGUCCCAUCCACCACACUACCAGGUGGUAUAGAGGAGAUGGACCCACUGGUUGCCCUCUAGGUUACAGAGAGCUGGUAGUCCCAUCCACCACACUACCAGGUGGUAUAGAGGAGAUGGACCCACUGGUUGUCCUCUAGGUUACAGAGAGCUGG
rnacentral:lncRNA from 1 species